AUAGUCCUGAUGUUUUAGUUGCAGAAGAAGGCUUCAUCUUUAAUUUAUGUUUUCCUAUUUAACAAACCGAUUUUUUAUUUCUGAUAGGAAAGGAAAUAAUGCUUAUUUUAAAGCUACAAUGCUGGGGGGCUUGGAAGCUUAAAAUUACACAUGGGUUUGGUUUGGAAAAGCAGAUGGGAUGAGAUGAGAUUUCUUCACUGAUUCGAUCCUAUACAGUAGUACUGUCACCCAUCGAAGAGAAGGAAGGUGGCAAACACUCCAUGGAGUCAUUUAUACAACAGCAGUGGCUUUUAUGGAAAGACUGUAAGUCAAACUGAUUCUUCUACAGAGGUGUUUUAGUACCCCUGUAGAUAAAAAUCUAAUCAAAAGUUGUUUAUAACAAGAAAGCUCUGUUUAUUUCCUGAGAAGGGAAUGAGAUCAAAUCUACAUGGUAAGAAAGGGUAGUUUCAGGGAAUGCCUCUGAAGACUUCAAAUCGUUAAGAUUUUUUUUUUGGAUGCUUCAACUACAUCUUUUUUUUAAAAGAAUGCCAUGUUAAAGAAGAGCAUUAUGUGACGUAUGUUGGUAUAGAUUGUCAUCACCUUUACUAUGCAUAAGUAAAUGAACGACCUUGCAAAUCAGAUAAAGGUGUGAAGAGAAGAACAAAGCAAAAAUGUGAAAGACAAUGUGCCGCAUUUUUCCUACUUGUAAAUAAGGUGGAAAAUUUCAACACAAUAGAAAAUCACCAAUGCUUUUGAUUUCUAAUGGAACGAGCACUGCAGGGAUUCAGCUCCUAGGUGACCAUCCAUGUGCCUGUAAAUAGUAAAAGUAUCCUUGUCCAGUAAUAUUUCUAUUGCUAAAAUCGUAUUUUUCUUAUUAGAAAUUGAUAGCAACAGGUUCGUUUCUUACAUGUCCCUUAAUUCUCCAGACCCACAAGUUUGAGGUGGCACAAGCACUGUAUUAAGUCUCACCUUUUCAGAAAUCAUCUUCAUAACUGUGCCAUGUAUUUGCUAUGGAGUUCUGCUAUAUGCCUCAUUUUCCCCUCUGUAAAACACAAAAAAUAAAUAAUGGUUUAAACGGUUUGCACGAACGUGGUAAUAAAA